rnacentral:rRNA from 1 species
CUAAGGCGAGGCCGACAGGCGUAGUCGAUGGAUGACGGGUUGAUAUUCCCGUACCGGCGAAGCACCGCCCAUGCUGACGCGCGGGUGCUAACCCACGCCCAGCCGCCAUGUAGGCCGCGCCUACUCCUUUCGGGGGGUGGUGUGGUUGUGGUGGUGGGGUCUGGGGAUCCUCCGUGCAGGUAGGCAAGCGUGUUAACAGGGGUGACGCACAGUGGUAGCCCGGCGGACCUGAUGGCUUGGUCCGUUCAAGCGCGCAGCCCGUCCUCCAGGUAAAUCCGGGGUGACUGUCUUUGAUGACGGGGGUGAGGCGUGAUGGUGACCCCACACUGGUGGGGGAUAGCAGGGUGAUCCUGGGGUGCCGAGAAAAGCCUCGACGCGAUGGUGCCAGCCGCCCGUACCCUAAACCGACACAGGUGGUCGGGCAGAGUAUGCCUAGGCGCACGAGUGAAUCAUGGUUAAGGAACUCGGCAAAAUGCCCCCGUAACUUCGGGAGAAGGGGGGCCCGAUCCCUUGAAGCCCCGUGGCGGGCUAGGGGGGUGGGUCGCAGAGACCAGGGGGAAGCGACUGUUUACUAAAAACACAGGUCCGUGCGAAGCCGUAAGGCGAUGUAUACGGACUGACGCCUGCCCGGUGCUGGAAGGUUAAGAGGAACCAUCAACCCUCGGGUGAAGUGGUGAAUUUAAGCCCCAGUAAACGGCGGUGGUAACUAUAACCAUCCUAAGGUAGCGAAAUUCCUUGUCGGGUAAGUUCCGACCUGCACGAAUGGCGUAACGACUUCCCCGCUGUCUCAACCAUGAGCUCGGCGAAAUUGCAGUACGAGUAAAGAUGCUCGUUUCGCGCAGAAGGACGGAAAGACCCCGGGACCUUUACUACAGCUUGGUAUUGGCGCCCGCUAUAGCUUGUGCAGGAUAGGUGGGAGACUGUGAAGCCGUUACGCCAGUAGCGGUGGAGUCGUCCUUGAAAUACCACUCUGGUUAUGGCGUGCGCCUGAACCUGGGCCCGUGAUCCGGGUUAGGGACAGUGCCUGGUGGGUAGUUUAACUGGGGCGGUUGCCUCCUAAAGUGUAACGGAGGCGCUCAAAGGUUCCCUCAGCCUGGUCGGCAACCAGGUGUUGAGUGCAAGUGCACAAGGGAGCUUGACUGUGAGACCGACGGGUCGAGCAGGUACGAAAGUAGGAACUAGUGAUCCGGCGAUCCCGUGUGGGUGGGUCGUCGCUCAACGGAUAAAAGGUACCCCGGGGAUAACAGGCUGAUCCUGCCCAAGAGUCCAUAUCGACGGCAUGGUUUGGCACCUCGAUGUCGGCUCGUCGCAUCCUGGGGCUGGAGCAGGUCCCAAGGGUUGGGCUGUUCGCCCAUUAAAGCGGUACGCGAGCUGGGUUUAGAACGUCGUGAGACAGUUCGGUCCCUAUCCUCUGCGCGCGCAGGAGACUUGAGAAGGCCUGUCCCUAGUACGAGAGGACCGGGACGGACGAACCUCUAGUGCGCCAGUUGUCCCGCCCGGGGCACCGCUGGUUAGCCACGUUCGGAUACGGAUAACCGCUGAAAGCAUCUAAGCGGGAAACCAUCUUCAAGACCAGGUCUCCACACACCACCAUGGUGUGGAAGGCCCCCAGCAGACCACUGGGUAGAUAGGCCAGACGUGCACGAUCGGUAACGAUCGAAGCUGACUGGUACUAACCGGCCGACACAACACAC